rnacentral:tRNA from 1 species
GGGCCUGUAGCUCAGCUGGUCAGAGCAGCGGACUCAUAAUCCGUUGGUCCCUGGUUCGAAUCCAGGCGGGCCCA